GACGAACGCUGGCGGCGUGCUUAACACAUGCAAGUCGAACGAAGUGGCGAACGGGUGAGUAACGCGUAAUCAACCUGCCCUUCAGAGGGGGACAACAGUUGGAAACGACUGCUAAUCCCGCAUACUGAAGGACGGGAUUGCGUCUGAUUAGCUAGUUGGGGGGGUAACGGCCCACCAAGGCGAUGAUCAGUAGCCGGUGUGGGAGGAUGAACGGCCAAAUUGGGACUGGGGUACGGGCCAGACUCCUACGGGGGGGAGCAGUGGGGAAUCAUCCGAAAUGGACGAAAGUCUGACGGAGCAACGCCGCGGGAGUGAUGACGGCCUUCGGGUUGUAAAGGUCUGUUAAUCGGGACGCGGUACCGGAAUAGAAAGCCACGGCUAACUACGUGCCAGCAGCCGCGGUAAUUC
rnacentral:rRNA from 1 species